rnacentral:RNase_P_RNA from 1 species
AGAGUCGGCUGAGCAGUCGCUGUUUUAUCGCAAGAUAAGAUGGAGGAAAGUCCGGGCUCCAUUGGGCAGGGUGCCAGGUAACGCCUGGGAGGCGUGAGCCUACGGAAAGUGCCGCAGAAAAUAUACCGCCUGUCACU